rnacentral:rRNA from 1 species
UCUACGGGAGGCAGCAGUAGGGAAUCUUCCACAAUGGGCGAAAGCCUGAUGGAGCAACGCCGCGUGAGUGAUGAAGGUUUUCGGAUCGUAAGCCUCUGUCUUCAGGGACGAUAAUGACGGUACCUGAGGAGGAAGCCACGGCUAACUACGUGCCAGCAGCCGCGGUAAUA